CCUACGGGAGGCAGCAGUGAGGAAUAUUGGUCAAUGGGCGGAAGCCUGAACCAGCCAAGUAGCGUGCAGGAUGACGGCCCUAUGGGUUGUAAACUGCUUUUAUAUGGGAAUAACGUGACUUACGUGUUGGUUUUUGUAUGUACCGUAUGAAUAAGCAUCGGCUAACUCCGUGCCAGCAGCCGCGGUAAUACGGAGGGUGCGAGCGUUAUCCGGAUUUAUUGGGUUUAAAGGGAGCGUAGGCGGUUAAUUAAGUGAGCUGUGAAAUGUGGUGGCUCAACCAGAAAAUGGCGGUGGAAACUGGUUGAAUUGAGGAUAGUUGAGGGAGGAGGAAGGAGGGGGUGAGCGGUGAAAUGAAUAGAGAUAAAGAAGAACUCCGAGUGAGAAGGAAGAUGAAUAAACGAUAAAUGACACUGAAGCACGAAAGCGGGGGGAUAAAACAGGAUGAGAGAACCGUGUAGGC
rnacentral:rRNA from 1 species